rnacentral:rRNA from 1 species
GACGAACGCUGGCGGCGUGCUUAACACAUGCAAGUCGAGCGGUAAGGCCCUUUCGGGGGUACACGAGCGGCGAACGGGUGAGUAACACGUGGGUGACCUGCCCUUAGCUCUGGGAUAAGCCUGGGAAACUGGGUCUAAUACCGGAUAUGACUCCAUGACGCAUGUUGUGGGGUGGAAAGCCUUGUGCGGCUAGGGAUGGGCCCGCGGCCUAUCAGCUUGUUGGUGGGGUGAUGGCCUACCAAGGCGACGACGGGUAGCCGGCCUGAGAGGGCGACCGGCCACACUGGGACUGAGACACGGCCCAGACUCCUACGGGAGGCAGCAGUGGGGAAUCUUGCGCAAUGGGGGAAACCCUGACGAAGCAACGCCGCGUGGAGGAUGAAGGCCUUCGGGUCGU